GAUGAACGCUGGCGGCGUGCUUAACACAUGCAAGUCGAACGAACCUUCGGGUUAGUGGCGGACGGGUGAGUAACGCGUGAGAAUCUGCCCUCAGGAGGGGGAUAACGGUUGGAAACGACCGCUAAUACCCCAUAUGCCUACUGGUGAAAUGAAUUUCGCCUGAGGAUGAGCUCGCGUCUGAUUAGCUAGUUGGUGAGGUAAUGGCUCACCAAGGCUUCGAUCAGUAGCUGGUCUGAGAGGAUGAUCAGCCACACUGGGACUGAGACACGGCCCAGACUCCUACGGGAGGCAGCAGUGGGGAAUUUUCCGCAAUGGGCGAAAGCCUGACGGAGCAACGCCGCGUGAGGGACGAAGGCCUCUGGGCUGUAAACCUCUUUUCUCAAGGAAGAAGAUAUGACGGUACUUGAGGAAUAAGCCACGGCUAAUUCCGUGCCAGCAGCCGCGGUAAUACGGGAGUGGCAAGCGUUAUCCGGAAUUAUUGGGCGUAAAGCGUCCGCAGGCGGCUUUUCAAGUCUGCUGUUAAAGCGUGGAGCUUAACUCCAUCAUGGCAGUGGAAACUGAAAGGCUUGAGUAUGGUAGGGGCAGAGGGAAUUCCCGGUGUAGCGGUGAAAUGCGUAGAUAUCGGGAAGAACACCAGUGGCGAAGGCGCUCUGCUGGGCCAUUACUGACGCUCAUGGACGAAAGCCAGGGGAGCGAAAGGGAUUAGAUACCCCUGUAGUCCUGGCCGUAAACGAUGAACACUAGGUGUCGGGGGAAUCGACCCCUUCGGUGUCGUAGCUAACGCGUUAAGUGUUCCGCCUGGGGAGUACGCACGCAAGUGUGAAACUCAAAGGAAUUGACGGGGGCCCGCACAAGCGGUGGAGUAUGUGGUUUAAUUCGAUGCAACGCGAAGAACCUUACCAGGGUUUGACAUCCUGCGAACCUCUUAGAAAUUUGAGGGUGCCUUCGGGAAUGCAGUGACAGGUGGUGCAUGGCUGUCGUCAGCUCGUGUCGUGAGAUGUUGGGUUAAGUCCCGCAACGAGCGCAACCCACGUUUUUAGUUGCCAGCAUUUAGUUGGGCACUCUAGAAAGACCGCCGGUGAUAAACCGGAGGAAGGUGUGGAUGACGUCAAGUCAUCAUGCCCCUUACACCCUGGGCUACACACGUACUACAAUGCUACGGACAAAGGGCAGCAAACUCGCGAGAGCUAGCAAAUCCCAUAAACCGUGGCUCAGUUCAGAUCGUAGGCUGCAACUCGCCUACGUGAAGUAGGAAUCGCUAGUAAUCGCAGGUCAGCAUACUGCGGUGAAUACGUCCCCGGGCCUUGUACACACCGCCCGUCACACCAUGGAAGUUGGCCAUGCCCGAAGUCGUUACUCCAACCCUUGUGGAGGAGGACGCCGAAGGUGGGGCUAAUGACUGGGGUG
rnacentral:rRNA from 1 species